rnacentral:rRNA from 1 species
UACGUAGGGGGCAAGCGUUGUCCGGAUUUAUUGGGCGUAAAGCGCGUGUAGGCGGCCAGAUAGGUCUGCUGUGAAAACUCGAGGCUCAACCUCGAGCUGUCGGCGGAAACCAUCCGGCUAGAGUCCGGAAGAGGAGAGUGGAAUUCCCGGUGUAGUGGUGAAAUGCGCAGAUAUCGGGAGGAACACCAAUAGCGAAGGCAGCUCGCUGGGACGUUACUGACACUGAGGCGCGAAAGCGUGGGGAGCGAACAGG